rnacentral:rRNA from 1 species
GUAAAUAAUAAAGGGCGUAUGGUGGAUGCCUUGGCUCUCGGAGGCGAUGAAGGACGUGAUAAGCUGCGAAAAGCUCCGUUUAGGUGCAAAUAACCUUUGAUGCGGAGAUCUCCGAAUGGGAUAACCCAAUAUGUUGAAGACAUAUUAUACCGUAAGGUAGGCAAACGCAGGGAACUGAAACAUCUAAGUACCUGCAGGAGAAGAAAACAAACGUGAUUCCCCCAGUAGCGGCGAGCGACCGGGGAAAAGCCCAAACCGUUAUUGUUUCGGCAGUAGCGGGGUAGUAGGACUGCGACAUUGAUGAAAUAAAUGAAAUGGAACACCUUGGAAAAUGUGAUCACAGAGGGUGAUAAUCCCGUACAUGCAAGUUUAUGAAUCAUAGCAGACUCCUGAGUAAGUCGGGACACGUGUAAUCCUGACCGAAUCCGCCGGGACCAUCCGGUAAGGCUAAAUACUCCCGAGAGACCGAUAGUGAACCAGUACCGUGAGGGAAAGGUGAAAAGCACUUCGAACAGAAGAGUGAAAUAGUCCCUGAACCCAUACGCCUACAAGCUGUCGGAGCCGCUUCGUGCGGUGACGGCGUGCCUUUUGCAUAAUGAGCCUACGAGUUACUCAUCACCAGCGAGGUUAAGUACUUCAGGUACGUAAGCCGAAGCGAAAGCGAGUCUGAAUAGGGCGUCAAGUUGGUGGUGGUAGACGCGAAACCUUAGUGAUCUACCCAUGGGCAGGGUGAAGGUUUGGUAACACAAACUGGAGGCCCGAACCGGUAAACGUUGAAAAGUUUUCGGAUGACCUGUGGGUAGGGGUGAAAGGCCAAUCAAACUGGGAAAUAGCUCGUACUCUCCGAAAUGCAUUUAGGUGCAGCCUCUGUUGUUUUGUUCUAGAGGUAGAGCUACUGAUUGGAUGCGAGGGCUUCACCGCCUAUCAAAUCCGGCCAAACUCCGAAUGCUAGAACAUGAAGACAGGGAGUGAGCCAGCGGGUGCUAAGGUCCGUUGACGAAAGAGGGAGAACUCAGACCAUCAGCUAAGGUCCCCAAUUAUAUGCUAAGUUGGAAUUAAAACGGGGUGGGACUGCUUAGACAGCUAGGAUGUUGGCUUGGAAGCAGCCAUUCAUUUAAAGAGUGCGUAACAGCUCACUAGUCGAGCGGUCCUGCAUGGAUAAUACGCGGGCAUAAGCAUAUAACCGAAGCUAUGGGAUUGUAGAUGAUACAAUCGGUAGGAGAGCAUUCCAUUCAGCGUAGAAGCAGUAUCGUGAGGUAUUGUGGAGCGGAUGGAAAAGCAAAUGUAGGCAUAAGUAACGAUAAUGCGGGUGAGAACCCCGCACGCCGAAAGAUCAAGGAUUCCCCGGCAAUGUCAAUCAUCCGGGGGUAAGUCGGAUCCUAAGGGUAAGCCGAGUGGCGAUCCCGAUGGCAAACAGGUUAAUAUUCCUGUACUGAUCAUAACUGCGAUGCAGCGACGCAGAGGUGACACUGCUGCGUACUGACGGAAUAGUACGUUGAAACCCGUAUUCUUUGAUACCGGUAGUGAAGCACGCCGGUAGAGAUGAAAGGUGAUAGUACCGCAAUGCUUCGGUUGCGCGGAUAACGCAGGUAAGCUGACUGCCAAGAAAACCUGCUAAGCUUCAGGUAAUGAUCAUCCGUACUGUAAACGGACACACGUGAUCAGGUAGAAAAUACUAAGGCGCUCGAGAGAUUCAUGGUUAAGGAACUAGGCAAAAUGGUCCUGUAACUUCGGGAUAAAGGACGCUCUUGUGAAAGAGCCGCAGAUAAUAGGCCCAGGCGACUGUUUACCAAAAACACAUGGCUAUGCUAAUUCGCAAGAAGAUGUAUAUGGCCUGACACCUGCCCGGUGCCGGAAGGUUAAGAGGAGAGCUCAGAGGUAACUCGAAGGUUUGAAUUGAAGCCCCGGUAAACGGCGGCCGUAACUAUAACGGUCCUAAGGUAGCGAAAUUCCUUGUCGGGUAAGUUCCGACCUG